rnacentral:rRNA from 1 species
AACACUACAUUGAGGAAAUGCUUUGUAGCUGACGGUACCUUAUCAGAAAGCGAUGGCUAACUAUGUGCCAGCAGCCGCGGUAAUACAUAGGUCGCAAGCGUUAUCCGGAAUUAUUGGGCGUAAAGCGUUCGUAGGCUGUUUAUUAAGUCUGGAGUCAAAUCCCAGGGCUCAACCCUGGCUCGCUUUGGAUACUGGUAAACUAGAGUUAGAUAGAGGUAAGCGGAAUUCCAUGUGAAGCGGUGAAAUGCGUAGAUAUAUGGAAGAACACCAAAGGCGAAGGCAGCUUACUGGGUCUAUACUGACGCUGAGGGACGAAAGCGUGGGGAGCAAACAGGAUUAGAUACCCUGGUAGUCCACGCCGUAAACGAUGAUCAUUAGUCGGUGGGUUAUUCACUGACGCAGCUAACGCAUUAAAUGAUCCGCCUGAGUAGUAUGCUCGCAAGAGUGAAACUUAAAGGAAUUGACGGGGACCCGCACAAGCGGUGGAGCAUGUGGUUUAAUUUGAAGAUACACGGAGAACCUUACCCACUCUUGACAUCUUCCGCAAAGCUAUAGAGAUAUAGUGGAGGUUAACGGAAUGACAGAUGGUGCAUGGUUGUCGUCAGCUCGUGUCGUGAGAUGUUUGGUCAAGUCCUGCAACGAGCGCAACCCCUAUCUUCAGUUACUAACGAGUUAUGUCGAGGACUCUGGAGAUACUGCCUGGGUAACUGGGAGGAAGGUGGGGAUGACGUCAAAUCAUCAUGCCUCUUACGAGUGGGGCAACACACGUGCUACAAUGGUCGGUACAAAGAGAAGCAAUAUGGCGACAUGGAGCAAAUCUCAAAAAGCCGAUCUCAGUUCGGAUUGAAGUCUGCAACUCGACUUCAUGAAGUCGGAAUCGCUAGUAAUCGCAGAUCAGCUAUGCUGCGGUGAAUACGUUCUCGGGUCUUGUACACACCGCCCGUCACACCAUGGGAGCUGGUAAUACCCAAAGUCGGUUUGCUAACCUCGGAGGCGACUG